UAAUACGAAGGGGACUAGCGUUGUUCGGAUUUACUGGGCGUAAAGCGCGCGUAGGCGGAUCACUAAGUCAGGGGUGAAAUCCCGAGGCUUAACCUCGGAACUGCCUUUGAUACUGGUGAUCUGGAGAUCGGGAGAGGUUGGUGGAAUUCCGAGUGUAGAGGUGAAAUUCGUAGAUAUUCGGAGGAACACCAGAAGCGAAGGCGGCCAACUGGCCCGAUACUGACGCUGAGGCGCGAAAGCGUGGGGAGCAAACAGGAUUAGAUACCCUGGUAGUCCACGCCGUAAACGAUGGAUGCUAGCCGUUGGCAGGCUUGCCUGUCAGUGGCGCAGCUAACGCAUUAAGCAUCCCGCCUGGGGAGUACGGUCGCAAGAUUA
rnacentral:rRNA from 1 species